rnacentral:rRNA from 1 species
UACAGAGGUCUCAAGCGUUGUUCGGAUUCAUUGGGCGUAAAGGGGGUGUAGGUGGCGCCGUAAGUCGGGUGUGAAAUUUCGAGGCUUAACCUCGAAACUGCAUUCGAUACUGCGGUGCUUGAGGACUGGAGUUCGGCAGGGGAGACUGGAAUUCCUGGUGUAGCGGUGAAAUGCGCAGAUAUCAGGAGGAACACCGGUGGCGAAGGCGGGUCUCUGGGCCGAUACUGACGCUGAGGAGCGAAAGCGUGGGGAGCGAACAGG